UACGUAGGGGCCUAGCGUUGUCCGGAUUUAUUGGGCGUAAAGAGCUCGUAGGCGGUUCGGUAAGUCUGCUGUGAAAGUCCAGGGCUCAACCCUGGGAUGCCGGUGGAUACUGUCGGACUAGAGUACGGAAGAGGCGACUGGAAUUCCUGGUGUAGCGGUGAAAUGCGCAGAUAUCAGGAAGAACACCCGUGGCGAAGGCGGUUCUCUGGGACGGUACUGACGCUGAGACGCGAAAGCGUGGGGAGCGAACAGG
rnacentral:rRNA from 1 species